GAUUAAUGCUGGUGGUAUGCAUACCCCAUGCAAUUCGAACGAAGAGGGUUUACUCUCUUAGUGGCAAACGGGCGAGUAACACAUAUUUAACUUACCUGCACGAGGAGAAUAGCAACUCGAAAGAGUUAUUAAUACUCCAUAGGUUUGAGACUCAAAUUAAAGGAGCGAUCUGGGAAACCAGUGCUUCGCGAGCAGAGAGGAGUAUGUCCUAUUAGGUUGUUGGUGGGGUAAAAGCCUACCAAGCCGAUGAUGGGUAGCUGGACUGAGAGGUCGACCAGCCGCAAUGGGAUUGAAAUACGGCCCAUAUUCCUACGGGAAGCAGCAGUGAGGAAUUUUUCACAAUGGACGAAAGUCUGAUGGAGCAAUACCAUGUGAACGAUGAAGGUCUUCUGAUUGUAAAGUUCUUUUAUUUAGGAAAAAAAGCUUGAGAGGAAAUGAUUAAGCCGUGAUUGUACUAAAUGAAUAAGUGACAGCUAACUAUGUGCCAGCAGCUGCGGUAAAACAU
rnacentral:rRNA from 1 species